GCCCGCCUAGCUCAAUCGGAUAGAGCGUCAGACUCUUACUAGCGGGCGAUCUGAAGGCUGCGAGUUCGACCCUCGCGGUGGGCU